CAUGUACUCCCUACGUUCCGAAUUACUUGUCUUGGAUUUGUCUAGAUACGGAUGUAUCUAGACUCAUUUUAGUGCUAGAUACCUCCGUAUCUAGACAAAUCUAAGACAAGUAAUUCGGAACGGAGGGAGUACUAG
rnacentral:pre_miRNA from 1 species